rnacentral:rRNA from 1 species
CCUACGGGAGGCAGCAGUGAGGAAUAUUGGUCAAUGGACGCAAGUCUGAACCAGCCAUGCCGCGUGCAGGAAGACGGCUCUAUGAGUUGUAAACUGCUUUUGUACGAGGGUAAACGCAGAUACGCGUAUCUGUCUGAAAGUAUCGUACGAAUAAGGAUCGGCUAACUCCGUGCCAGCAGCCGCGGUAAUACGGAGGAUUCAAGCGUUAUCCGGAUUGAUUGGGUUUAAAGGGUGCGUAGGCGGUGGGAUAAGUUAGAGGUCAAAUCCCGGGGCUCAACUUUGGAAUUGCCUGUGAUACUGUUCGGCUAGAGAGUAGGUGAGGUAGGCGGAAUGUAUGGUGUAGCGGUGAAAUGCUUAGAGAUCAUACAGAACACCGAUAGCGAAGGCAGCUUACUAAGCUACUUCUGACGUUGAGGUGCGAAAGCGUGGGGAGCAAACAGGAUUAGAUACCCCAGUAGUC